CACCAGGCUAGGGAAACUCAGAAUUAUUUUAUCUGAAGAAAGCAGUCAGCUUUUUGUCCACAGGACUUCCUGUCCAAGUGGCUCUGGACACUGAUGGACACCCCUUACCUCUGCACACUUUUCGGAAGAUGUUUCUAUGGCAGCCUUACUUCCUCCCAGGCAUAUGGAUAAGUGGCUGCAAAGGCCAGCUCUGUGACUCCAGAUUGGAGCAGAAAAGUCACUACAUCAUGAAUGGGUAAGGGAAGAAGCAGAAGGAAAGAUGAAGUCCUAAAGAAGGAAGAGUGCUGACUGGUGGAUAUCUGUGUCCCCUCAGGGGACAUACUCUGAUGCUGUGGGAAUGAUUCUUCCAUUCUAUGCAACACCCUUCAAGAUAAACAGGAACACUGUAGUCACGAGGCAGGGGACAAAUCGCAGGCCCCUGGGUUUGCCCUGAGUCACUUGCAUCUUCCCUUGGAGUUUGGGUGAACACCUUUCUCUCUCAGAAGAUGACUCAGAAGGUAUGGAAUAUAGGCCCUUUUGCCUUCACAAUUCUGUGAAACUGAAGUUUCAGUUGCCCAG
rnacentral:lncRNA from 1 species